rnacentral:rRNA from 1 species
GAUGAACGCUGGCGGCGUGCCUAAUACAUGCAAGUCGAGCGAACGGACGAGAAGCUUGCUUUUCUGAUGUUAGCGGCGGACGGGUGAGUAACACGUGGAUAACCUACCUAUAAGACUGGGAUAACUUCGGGAAACCGGAGCUAAUACCGGAUAAUAUUUUGAACCGCAUGGUUCAAAAGUGAAAGACGGUCUUGCUGUCACUUAUAGAUGGAUCCGCGCUGCAUUAGCUAGUUGGUAAGGUAACGGCUUACCAAGGCAACGAUGCAUAGCCGACCUGAGAGGGUGAUCGGCCACACUGGAACUGAGACACGGUCCAGACUCCUACGGGAGGCAGCAGUAGGGAAUCUUCCGCAAUGGGCGAAAGCCUGACGGAGCAACGCCGCGUGAGUGAUGAAGGUCUUCGGAUCGUAAAACUCUGUUAUUAGGGAAGAACAUAUGUGUAAGUAACUGUGCACAUCUUGACGGUACCUAAUCAGAAAGCCACGGCUAACUACGUGCCAGCAGCCGCGGUAAUACGUAGGUGGCAAGCGUUAUCCGGAAUUAUUGGGCGUAAAGCGCGCGUAGGCGGUUUUUUAAGUCUGAUGUGAAAGCCCACGGCUCAACCGUGGAGGGUCAUUGGAAACUGGAAAACUUGAGUGCAGAAGAGGAAAGUGGAACUCCAUGUGUAGCGGUGAAAUGCGCAGAGAUAUGGAGGAACACCAGUGGCGAAGGCGACUUUCUGGUCUGUAACUGACGCUGAUGUGCGAAAGCGUGGGGAUCAAACAGGAUUAGAUACCCUGGUAGUCCACGCCGUAAACGAUGAGUGCUAAGUGUUAGGGGGUUUCCGCCCCUUAGUGCUGCAGCUAACGCAUUAAGCACUCCGCCUGGGGAGUACGACCGCAAGGUUGAAACUCAAAGGAAUUGACGGGGACCCGCACAAGCGGUGGAGCAUGUGGUUUAAUUCGAAGCAACGCGAAGAACCUUACCAAAUCUUGACAUCCUUUGACAACUCUAGAGAUAGAGCCUUCCCCUUCGGGGGACAAAGUGACAGGUGGUGCAUGGUUGUCGUCAGCUCGUGUCGUGAGAUGUUGGGUUAAGUCCCGCAACGAGCGCAACCCUUAAGCUUAGUUGCCAUCAUUAAGUUGGGCACUCUAAGUUGACUGCCGGUGACAAACCGGAGGAAGGUGGGGAUGACGUCAAAUCAUCAUGCCCCUUAUGAUUUGGGCUACACACGUGCUACAAUGGACAAUACAAAGGGCAGCGAAACCGCGAGGUCAAGCAAAUCCCAUAAAGUUGUUCUCAGUUCGGAUUGUAGUCUGCAACUCGACUACAUGAAGCUGGAAUCGCUAGUAAUCGUAGAUCAGCAUGCUACGGUGAAUACGUUCCCGGGUCU